UACAGAGGGGGCAAGCGUUGUUCGGAAUUACUGGGCGUAAAGGGCGCGUAGGCGGCCUGUUAAGUCGAACGUGAAAUCCCCGGGCUCAACCCGGGAACUGCGUCCGAUACUGGCAGGCUUGAAUUCGGGAGAGGGAUGCGGAAUUCCAGGUGUAGCGGUGAAAUGCGUAGAUAUUGGGAGGAACACCGGUGGCGAAGGCGGCCCCCUGGACCGGUACUGACGCUGAGGCGCGAAAGCGUGGGGAGCAAACAGG
rnacentral:rRNA from 1 species